GCCUAGUAUUUAAGUGGAGAAGGAUAGAUGGUAGGCCCAUUAUCACAUAGUUACGAACUGUGUGCCAACAAUCUCCCAGGGAUCUCUCACUUAUCAAAAGGGGAAAAGAGUUGUUCUCUUUGCAAGACAUGACACAAGUUUCUCUAGUUAACAAUGUUUUCUGAGACAUCUAACAUCAUGUGAUGGCCUCUUUUACCUGACAGCAUGCUUUUGCCCUAAUUAUUUGCAUGGUUCAUGUUCUGAUUACUGGUGCAGGCACUUUAUCUCAGAAACAACGGGCUCAGAUCCCUUCCUAGCAGCAUUUUUAAACAAUGCUGCGAACUCUCUACACUAGAUCUCCAUGGAACUGAUAUAACUAUAGAUGUUAUCAGCCAGAUUGAAGGAUGGGAGAAUUUUGAUGAGAAAAGACGCUCGAAGCAUCAGAAGCAACUGGACUUCAGAGUGAGCAGCUCUGGCAAAUUUGAUGAAGGAGCUGAUAAAAGCUGAUAGGCCAGAUACAAAUUGCUCGGUAAUGCGGUUUUAUAUACACCCUGACAUACAUUUGCAUUGUGAUCCCUAGCAAACUUUACAGAAGAAUCUUUUAGUACCUGUUAAGAUACAUCAAGAAAUUAUAAUGAGCAUACUGCUCCUGUGUACACUCCCUACAGAUUUACCAUUGUCCUGAUGCUUUGUGACAUAAAACUGUUACAUGCAUUGUUGAAUGAAAGUUCCCUUAAGAUGCA